ncrna:unclassified sequences leuA-Halobacteria RNA
CUCCAACGAGGAUAGAGGAAGUCGGGGCGACCCGGCUGGCCGCGAAAUUCUCC